GACGAACGCUGGCGGCGUGCUUAACACAUGCAAGUCGAACGAUGAACCCGGAGCUUGCUCCGGCGGAUUAGUGGCGAACGGGUGAGUAACACGUGAGUAACCUGCCCUUGACUCUGGGAUAACUGCGGGAAACUGUAGCUAAUACCGGAUACGACCCUCGGCGGCAUCGCCAGGGGGUGGAAAGAAUUUCGGUCAAGGAUGGACUCGCGGCCUAUCAGCUAGUUGGUGAGGUAGCGGCUCACCAAGGCGACGACGGGUAGCCGGCCUGAGAGGGUGACCGGCCACACUGGGACUGAGACACGGCCCAGACUCCUACGGGAGACAGCAGUGGGGAAUAUUGCACAAUGGGCGCAAGCCUGAUGCAGCAACGCCGCGUGAGGGAUGACGGCCUUCGGGUUGUAAACCUCUUUUAGUAGGGAAGAAGCGAAAGUGACGGUACCUGCAGAAAAAGCACCGGCUAACUACGUGCCAGCCGCCGCAGUAA
rnacentral:rRNA from 1 species